rnacentral:rRNA from 1 species
UACGGAGGGUGCGUGCGUUAAUCGGAAUUACUGGGCGUAAAGCGCACGUAGGCGGUUCGGUAAGUCGGAUGUGAAAGCCCUGGGCUUAACCUGGGAACUGCAUUCGAUACUGCCAAGCUAGAGUAUGGGAGAGGGAAGCGGAAUUUCCGGUGUAGCGGUGAAAUGCGUAGAUAUCGGAAGGAACACCAAUGGCGAAGGCAGCUUCCUGGCCCAAUACUGACGCUGAGGUGCGAAAGCGUGGGGAGCGAACCGG